rnacentral:rRNA from 1 species
AUUGAACGCUGGCGGCAGGCCUAACACAUGCAAGUCGAGCGGAUGAAGGGAGCUUGCUCCUGGAUUCGGCGGCGGACGGGUGAGUAAUGCCUAGGAAUCUGCCUGGUAGUGGGGGAUAACGUCCGGAAACGGGCGCUAAUACCGCAUACGUCCUGAGGGAGAAAGUGGGGGAUCUUCGGACCUCACCCUAUCAGAUGAGCCUAGGUCGGAUUAGCUAGUUGGUGGGGUAAAGGCCUACCAAGCCGACGAUCCGUAACUGGUCUGAGAGGAUGAUCAGUCACACUGGAACUGAGACACGGUCCAGACUCCUACGGGAGGCAGCAGUGGGGAAUAUUGGACAAUGGGCGAAAGCCUGAUCCAGCCAUGCCGCGUGUGUGAAGAAGGUCUUCGGAUUGUAAAGCACUUUAAGUUGGGAGGAAGGGCAGUAAGUUAAUACCUUGCUGUUUUGACGUUACCAACAGAAUAAGCACCGGCUAACUUCGUG